rnacentral:rRNA from 1 species
UAGGGAAUCUUCCACAAUGGGCGCAAGCCUGAUGGAGCAACACCGCGUGAGUGAAGAAGGGUUUCGGCUCGUAAAGCUCUGUUGUUAAAGAAGAACACGUAUGAGAGUAACUGUUCAUACGUUGACGGUAUUUAACCAGAAAGUCGCGGCUAACUACGUGCCAGCAGCCGCGGUAAUACGUAGGUGGCAAGCGUUAUCCGGAUUUAUUGGGCGUAAAGAGAGUGCAGGCGGUUUUCUAAGUCUGAUGUGAAAGCCUUCGGCUUAACCGGAGAAGUGCAUCGGAAACUGGAUAACUUGAGUGCAGAAGAGGGUAGUGGAACUCCAUGUGUAGCGGUGGAAUGCGUAGAUAUAUGGAAGAACACCAGUGGCGAAGGCGGCUACCUGGUCUGCAACUGACGCUGAGACUCGAAAGCAUGGGUAGCGAACAGGAUUAGAUACCCUGGUAGUCCAUGCCGUAAACGAUGAGUGCUAGGUGUUGGAGGGUUUCCGCCCUUCAGUGCCGGAGCUAACGCAUUAAGCACUCCGCCUGGGGAGUACGACCGCAAGGUUG